CGGCAGGCCUAACACAUGCAAGUCGAGCGGUAGAGAGAAGCUUGCUUCUCUUGAGAGCGGCGGACGGGUGAGUAAUGCCUAGGAAUCUGCCUGGUAGUGGGGGAUAACGUUCGGAAACGGACGCUAAUACCGCAUACGUCCUACGGGAGAAAGCAGGGGACCUUCGGGCCUUGCGCUAUCAGAUGAGCCUAGGUCGGAUUAGCUAGUUGGUGAGGUAAUGGCUCACCAAGGCGACGAUCCGUAACUGGUCUGAGAGGAUGAUCAGUCACACUGGAACUGAGACACGGUCCAGACUCCUACGGGAGGCAGCAGUGGGGAAUAUUGGACAAUGGGCGAAAGCCUGAUCCAGCCAUGCCGCGUGUGUGAAGAAGGUCUUCGGAUUGUAAAGCACUUUAAGUUGGGAGGAAGGGUUGUAGAUUAAUACUCUGCAAUUUUGACGU
rnacentral:rRNA from 1 species